rnacentral:rRNA from 1 species
AACCAACAGGGAUUGCCUCAGUAACGGCGAGUGAAGCGGCAACAGCUCAAAUUUGAAAUCUGGCUCUUUCAGAGUCCGAAUUGUAAUUUGUAGAGGAUGCUUCGGAAUGGUCCCAGUCUAAGUUCCUUGGAACAGGACGUCACAGAGGGUGAGAAUCCCGUAUGUGACUGGGUAACCGGCCCAUGUGAAGCUCCUUCGACGAGUCGAGUUGUUUGGGAAUGCAGCUCUAAAUGGGUGGUAAAUUUCAUCUAAAGCUAAAUACCGGCCAGAGACCGAUAGCGCACAAGUAGAGUGAUCGAAAGAUGAAAAGCACUUUGGAAAGAGAGUUAAAAAGUACGUGAAAUUGUUGAAAGGGAAGCGUUUGCAACCAGACUUGGCUGCAGUUGAUCAACCGGUGUUCUCACCGGUGCACUCUUCUGCAGACAGGCCAGCAUCAGUUUGGGCGGUUGGAUAAAGGUUGAAGGAAUGUAGCUCCUCUCGGGGAGAACUUAUAGCCUUCAGCGUCAUGCAGCCUGCCUGGACUGAGGACCGCGCGUUUGCUAGGAUGCUGGCGUAAUGGUUGUAAACGACCCGUCUUGAAACACGGACCAAGGAGUCUAACAUCUAUGCGAGUGUUUGGGUGUCAAACCCGUACGCGUAAUGAAAGUGAACGGAGGUGGGAAGCGCAAGCUGCACCAUCGACCGAUCCUGAUGUCUUCGGAUGGAUUUGAGUAUGAGCAUAGCUGUUGGGACCCGAAAGAUGGUGAACUAUGCCUGAAUAGGGUGAAGCCAGAGGAAACUCUGGUGGAGGCUCGCAGCGGUUCUGACGUGCAAAUCGAUCGUCAAAUUUGGGUAUAGGGGCGAAAGACUAAUCGAACCAUUGUUUUCCACAACUAGGUGGUUAAUUGAAAGGGUGCAGUGGCACCUUUCCAGCUCGCUGCACUGCAGCGGGCAACACCGCUAAUUGCGUGGACAGUCCUUAACUGGAAUGACAUGCAGUGACCCUGUCAAAAGGGGUCACUCACAGACCAAAUGGUGGUGGCCGGCUUUCAGUAGCUGGUUAAGAUAUGGCCGGUCCUCCUCUGCAAGAAGG